UACGAAGGGGGCUAGGCGUUGCUCGGAAUCACUGGGCGUAAAGCGCACGUAGGCGGAUUGUUAAGUCAGGGGUGAAAUCCUGGAGCUCAACGUCCAGAACUGCCUUUGAUACUGAAGAUCUUGAGUCCGGGAGAGGUAGAGUGGAACUGGCGAGUGUAGAGGUGAAAUUCGUAGAUAUUCGCAAAGAACACCAGUGGCGAAGGCGGCUCACUGGCCCGGUACUGACGCUGAGGCACGAAAGCGUGGGGAGCAACAGG
rnacentral:rRNA from 1 species